rnacentral:lncRNA from 1 species
GUAAAAGUUUAGGGGGAAAAUAAAAUGUUUUGGGGAAUAAAAGCUUGAGGGAAAGUAAAUAAGGGGGAGUAAAAUUUUGGAGGGAAAAUAUUAAAAAAAAAUUGGAGGGGGGAGGGUUUGGGGUAGAUGGGAGGUGGGAUGGGAAGAGAAUAAAAGUUUUAGGGGAAAAGUGGGAGGGAGUAAAAAUUUUGGGGGAAAAUAAAAGGUUUUGAGGGUUUUUGGGAGUAAAAUUUUGAGAAAUAGUAAAUGAAAGAGUAAAAUUUUGGUGGGAAAUGAAUUUUGGGUAGAUUGGAGGGUUGGGAGGGGAGGGGAUUAAAAGUUUUGGGGGGAAAAUGGGAAGGAGUAAAAAGUUUUUGAGGGAAAACUAAAAAAGUUU